AACGGCGAGUGAAGCGGCAACAGCUCAAAUUUGAAAUCUGGCGCAAGCCCGAGUUGUAAUUUGUAGAGGAUGCUUCUAGGUAGCGACCGGUCUAAGUUCCUUGGAACAGGACGUCAGAGAGGGUGAGAAUCCCGUAUGUGACCGGCCCGCGCCUUCCACGUAGCUCCUUCGACGAGUCGAGUUGUUUGGGAAUGCAGCUCUAAAUGGGAGGUAAAUUUCUUCUAAAGCUAAAUACCGGCCAGAGACCGAUAGCGCACAAGUAGAGUGAUCGAAAGAUGAAAAGCACUUUGGAAAGAGAGUUAAAAAGCACGUGAAAUUGUUGAAAGGGAAGCGCUCACAACCAGACUUUGGGGCGGUGUUCCGCCGGUCUUUUGACCGGUCUACUCGCCGUCCCGAGGCCAACAUCAUCUGGGACCGCCGGAUAAGACCGUAGGAAUGUGGCUCCCCUCGGGGAGUGUUAUAGCCUACGGUGAUGCGGCGCGUCUCGGGUGAGGUCCGCGCUUCGGCAAGGAUGUUGGCGUAAUGGUUGUCAGCGGCCCGUCUUGAAACACGGACCAAGGAGUCUAACAUCUAUGCGAGUGUUCGGGUGUCAAACCCCUACGCGAAAUGAAAGUGAACGGAGGUGGGAAGGGCAACCUGCACCAUCGACCGAUCCUGAUGUCCUCGGAUGGAUUUGAGUAAGAGCAUAGCUGUUGGGACCCGAAAGAUGGUGAACUAUGCCUGAAUAGGGUGAAGCCAGAGGAAACUCUGGUGGAGGCUCGCAGCGGUUCUGACGUGCAAAUCGAUCGUCAAAUUUGGGUAUAGGGGCGAAAGACUAAUCGAACCAU
rnacentral:rRNA from 1 species